rnacentral:lncRNA from 1 species
CGACGUCCUCACCUUCGACGCCACCCACGCCGUCAGCAACUUCCAGUUCGGGUGCAGCCACGCUGAGCAGGGCAGCUUCGACAACCGUGCGGCGGGCAUCAUGGCGCUCGGCGGCGGCCCGGAGUCGCUGCUGGCCCAGACGGCGUCCCGCUGGGGGAACGCCUUCUCCUACUGCAUCCCGCCGACGUCGAGCAACUCCGGCUUCUUCGGCCUCGGCGUGCCCGGCGGCGUCGCCUCCUCCAGGUACGUGGUGACGCCGAUGCUCAGGUACCCGAACCUGCCCACCUUCUACCGCGUGCUCCUCCGGGCCAUCACCGUCGGCGGGCAGCGGCUCAACGUGCCCGCCGCGGUGUUCUCCGCCGGCUCCGUGAUGGAUUCGCGCACGGCCAUCAGCCGCCUGCCGCCGACGGCGUACGCGGCGCUGCGGGCGGCGUUCAGGAACGCCAUGAGGAUGUACCGCCCUGCGCCGCCCAAGGGGAACCUCGACACCUGCUACGACUUCACCGGCGUCGCCAACGUCAGGCUGCCGAGGAUCGCGCUGGUGUUCGAC